CCGGGGGGAGCGAGCACCUGACCGCGGGGUCCGUCUGAGACAUCCAGGAGCUCUGAGAACCGCGGAAAGGCGAGGUCGCCCACCCCUGGGUAGCUGAGUUUGACUUUCUAAGACUAGGGCCUGAGGGAAGGUAUUUUUUGAGCUUCACCAGGCAGUUAUGUGUAGCUGCGUGAAUUUCCACUGCCUACUGAUUCUGUGGUGUGGAUAGCAAUGUCUCGGCUGGAGGGUUUGCUUUAGCUGAAGACAGCUUCCAAGAAAUAGUGAAAUAAUACAUCCAGUGAUACCUGUCAAUGGUCUUUUCCUGUCUUUGGUGAGAAGCAAACACAUCAUGUCUACAGAACAUCAACCAAAGAAUAGUUUGAAGCCUAUUUCCAGGAAGAGAAACACUGGAGGUGAGCUACCGCAAUAAAGUGCCCGUGCUGAGGAACAGCAAAAUGAACUGAACAUAUAAAACAAGUUGUAAGGACAGGCCAAACGUCAGGUCUGUAUCUGAGAAUGGAGUUAAUAAUGGAAUGCGGACUCAGGACCCUUUGAGGUUGAGUGGAGAUGAAACAGUAGACCAAGACUGUGCUACCAGCCUUCACAAGUGCAUAAGUCAAAACCCUAUAGUAAUUCUCUUAUUCGAGAAUGUCACUAGUAGUUUUAUUUCUCUAACUUAAUUCUGACACUAUCUCUU